UCAUAGAAACCUGGGUUUAUUAUGAAGACUGUUUUCAAUGACGAUCCAGGCGGUGUCCUGGAAAAUAAGCAUUCUUGGUGUUUGGACUGAGCUGACCUUAAGGAUUCCUGGAGGUAUCACUGUGUGUGUCCAUGGUGAUGUGAUGAGCUGGGAAGAGGAAAAGCGUCAUUGUAUACCUUCCACUGAUGGAGUCUGCACAGUCUAAAAUGGAAGGGUUUAUUCUCUGCAUUCCAGAAGGAGCAAGUCCUAGAGAAGAAUCCAGUGUGCUGUGACAUGUGCCUGACAGACAGUGUGAAAAGAAUAAGAGGGUAAAUAUGUUCCCAUUUGAAAAUGCUUGGUCUUCUCAUAUGGAUGCAAGGGCCAAGGCACUCUGGAGUAAUUAUAUUACAUCAGCUGUCCCAGAACUGCAUGGUAGGUUUUGAUUAUUUGUACUUAAACAUGGUGAGUGCCUGCAUGUCUACUCUUUUUGAUGUUUUGUUAAUAUAGUUCAUUCACAUACACCUCUUGUAAGAACAGAGUCUCCAAUACAUUUUCUUUAUGUGUAUAGAGGACUGUAUCAUAAUAGAUCACUUAUACUUGUUGCUUCAAAAAUCACACAGAACUGAGAAAUAUUAAGAGGACAAGAAAAUGUGUACUAUAUUGAAUCAUAGUUUUUCUAUCAAUUCUGCUGCUGUGUACUGACCUGCAAGAAUACAACUCUGGUCCCUCUCCUUUUCAUGUGUCAAGAUGAGCUGGGCAGAGCAGGUUCAGAUCUGUAGACUGGGAACACAGGCAGGGUCUGUGCACUCAAUGGAGGGCCGUGACUGGGCAACUGUCCUGAAUCCAGGCAGGUGUACUUAGGGAGUUCUGACUUCUCUACCCAACUUGCCUUUAAAUCCAUCUGAAUAUGCCCCCUACUCUGACAUACACAGUGUCUAGAUGCCUUGAUCCAGUUACAUCUUCUCAAGAAAUUCUUGUUUUGUUAUGCCAUACCUGAAGCCUUAGGUGCUUUAAAAAGAUCUCUAUCACAAAGCUCUCUCACUUGCAUCUCUGACAAACAAAUGAUGUUGUGUGACUCCAUUGCUUUAACAAGUUGUAAACAAAUAGUCCCUGUUGUUAUGUGGGAUGCCUCUCUCUCUCCCUUCACCUACCUUGGGGAGGUUCCUUUACAGUAGUCUUGAAACCUUAUUAUUAGACUAUUUUGCCUCUCUUCCAAAAGACAGAAAUGGCCUUCUGAAUGGAGACAGGCCACUCUCUCCCUGGUAAGAGUUAAUCCAGGUGGGUCAGCCAACCUGGAGACCAAAGGACCCCUUCUGAAAAAUGAGAAUACUUUCCCUAAGCCAUUCCAAAAACACCAAAGGGGCCAUACUGAUCCCUUCAUGAGAUAAUGUGCCUCCCCUUCCAUAAGGGGUGUCUGCUCCUCUGGCAGGCUCCCACAGAGCUGCAGUCUUGCAGCCUCUAGGAUCCGCCCACUUUCCUCUCUUUUCUAGGUGUGCUUUCACUAACUCUUUUUCUUCUCUGACACUGUGAGCUUUCUCUAAAGCUCUUUCCCUACCCUGUGACUGCUUAUGAAAUCUGUGUGUCAGCAAUGCAGACUUAAUUCAGAUAGGACAGCUUUCUUCUUUUUCUGCUCAAGAUUUGCAAUUACCUGCCCUGGAGCUUUUCAGGUUUUUCUUCCUCUAUUUUCCUCCCUAGGUUUAUUUAUUUUAUUCUAUGUGUGUGAGAGUUUUCUCUGCAUAAAUGUCUGUGUACCACUUGGGUGGCUGCUAUGCAAAGAGGUCAGAAAUGGCAUCAGAUCCCCUGGAAUUGGAAUUGUGCAUGGUUGGGAGCCUCCUGGUGGAUGAUGGGAACCAUACCUGGGUCUUCUGCAGGAACAAAUGCUCUAAAGACAUUUGGGGUUUUCUUUUAAACUUUAAUGCCAUUGUCCUCCAGAUGUUAGAGAGAUGUCUCUGUAGUUAAGAGCCCUUGUUCUUGUGGAAGACCCUUGGUCAGAUCUCAGCACCCAUUCCAGGUGUAAUUUUAUUUCCCAGGGAUCUCACAUGCUCUACUGACCUCUUCCAGCACAAGAACACAAUGUAGGUACAUGUAUGCAUGCAGGCAAAAUACCCACACACAUAAAAAUUAUAAACAAAUCUGAACUUUUCAUUGUCAUCAAAAAUACAUUGAGUCUUUUUAAAAAUUAUGUUAUUAAUAAGCCCAAGAAACCCAAAAGGAUUUGCUGUUAUUUCUGGAAUCAAUAUGUGCUGUGGGAUAUGGUUCUGUAUGCUGUGAUUAUAUGUUGGGAUCAUGAUUGAUAAAUAAAGCUGUUUGGCCAAUGGUGAAGCAGAAUAAGGUUAGGUAGUACAUUCAAACUGAACAUGGAGAUGAAGAAGGGUGUAGUUGCAGCAAAUGCUGGGAGCUGCCUCCAGGAGAAGCAAGAUGUGAGAAAAGAGAUAAUGCCAUGAAGCCAAGUGGUCAAACACAGAUUAAUAGGAAUGGGUUGAGUUAAGUUCUAAGAACUAGCUGGCAAAAAGCCUGAGCCAUAUGCCAUACAGU